rnacentral:RNase_P_RNA from 1 species
AAAGUUGGUUGGAUGGUCGUGUCCCAUAAUAUAGCUUGGGAUAAGGAAAGUCCGGACACCAAAGAGCAGGAUGCCUGUGAAAGCAGGGUGUAGAAAUGCAACGGAAAGUGCAACAGAAAACAAACCGCUCUGAACUAGCUGAAGAGUAAGGGUGAAAAGGUGUGGUAAGAGCACACCGCGCAGGAUCGUAAGUUCCUGUGGCAUGGUAAACCCCAUUCGGUGCAAGACCAAGUAUAUCUUCCAUUUCGAACUGCUCGUUCGAGCUUAGCUGGAAGAAGGGUCGGUCGCUAAGUAGAUAGCUACGCAGAUAAAUGACCAUCAAUUCCUUGUAGUAUUGCAAAUACUGUUUGGAAUUACAGAAUUCGGCUUACAGACCAACUUUAAAU